CCUACGGGGGGCUGCAGUAAGGAAUAUUGGUCAAUGGACGAAAGUCUGAACCAGCCAUCCCGCGUGCAGGAUGAAAGCCCUAUGGGUUGUAAACUGCUUUUAGCAGAGAAGAAAAGCUUUCAUUAAUGAGAGUCUGACGGUAUCUGCAGAAUAAGCACCGGCUAACUCCGUGCCAGCAGCCGCGGUCAUACGGAGGUUGCGGGCGUUAUCCGGUUUUAAGGGGUCGUAGGCGUAGGAUGAAGUAAGAGGUGAAAUCUUGUCGCUUAACGAUAGAAUUGCCUAUGAUACUGGUACUCUUGAAUUGGGUUGAGGUUAGCGGAAUGUGACAUGUAGCGGUGAAAUGCAUAGAUAUGUCAUGGAACACCAAUUGCGAAGGCAGCUAACUGGGCCUUGAUUGACGCUGAGGCACGAAAGCGUGGGUAGCGAACAGGAUUAGAUACCCCGGUAGUC
rnacentral:rRNA from 1 species